CGGUACAUUUUGCUUUUUCAUGCAUAUCGAGCGCACCUUCGGGUGAGCGGCGGACGGGUUAGUAACGCGUGGGAACAUACCCUUUGGUACGGAAUAGCCUCUGGAAACGGAGAGUAAUACCGUAUGAGCCCUUCGGGGGAAAGAUUUAUCGCCAAAGGAUUGGCCCGCGUUAGAUUAGGUAGUUGGUGGGGUAAUGGCCUACCAAGCCUACGAUCUAUAGCUGGUUUUAGAGGAUGAUCAGCAACACUGGGACUGAGACACGGCCCAGACUCCUACGGGAGGCAGCAGUGGGGAAUCUUGGACAAUGGGGGCAACCCUGAUCCAGCCAUGCCGCGUGAGUGAUGAAGGCCUUAGGGUCGUAAAGCUCUUUCGCCUGUGAAGAUAAUGACGGUAGCAGGUAAAGAAACCCCGGCUAACUCCGUGCCAGCAGCCGCGGUAAUACGGAGGGGGUUAGCGUUGUUCGGAAUUACUGGGCGUAAAGCGCACGUAGGCGGACUGGAAAGUUGGGGGUGAAAUCCCAGGGCUCAACCCUGGAACUGCCUCCAAAACUAUCAGUCUAGAGUUCGAGAGAGGUGAGUGGAAUUCCGAGUGUAGAGGUGAAAUUCGUAGAUAUUCGGAGGAACACCAGUGGCGAAGGCGGCUCACUGGCUCGAUACUGACGCUGAGGU
rnacentral:rRNA from 1 species